AAGCGGGAAGCCACUCCCGAGAAGAGUGAGCCUUACGCCUCAACCCCUGGCGCAAGCCGGGGGAGCGGGCGUUGGAGGGGGGCGAUAGAAGAUCGCGUUGAAGGACCAGCGGUGUACGCAAGAAGCUCGCAAGAGCGACUUGUUCAGCCGGUCUGGCACCUAUACCCCAACGCAGGAUGAGU
rnacentral:rRNA from 1 species